GACGAACGCUGGCGGCGUGCUUAACACAUGCAAGUCGAACGGAAAGGCCCUGCUUUUGUGGGGUGCUCGAGUGGCGAACGGGUGAGUAACACGUGAGUAACCUGCCCUUGACUUUGGGAUAACUUCAGGAAACUGGGGCUAAUACCGGAUAGGAGCUCCUGCUGCAUGGUGGGGGUUGGAAAGUUUCGGCGGUUGGGGAUGGACUCGCGGCUUAUCAGCUUGUUGGUGGGGUAGUGGCUUACCAAGGCUUUGACGGGUAGCCGGCCUGAGAGGGUGACCGGCCACAUUGGGACUGAGAGACGGCCCAGACUCCGACGGGAGGCAGCAGUGGGGAAUAUUGCACAAUGGGCGGAAGCCUGAUGCAGCAACGCCGCGUGCGGGAUAACGGCCUUCGGGUUGUAAACCGCUUUCGCCUGUGACGAAGCGUGAGUGACGGUAAUGGGUAAAGAAGCACCGGCUAACUACGUG
rnacentral:rRNA from 1 species